rnacentral:rRNA from 1 species
GCUCAACCGGGGAGGGCCAUUGGAAACUGGGGAACUUGAGUGCAGAAGAGGAGAGUGGAAUCCCACGUGUAGCGGUGAAAUGCGUAGAGAUGUGGAGGAACACCAGUGGCGAAGGCGACUCUCUGGUCUGUAACUGACGCUGAGGCGCGAAAGCGUGGGGAGCGAACAGGAUUAGAUACCCUGGUAGUCCACGCCGUAAACGAUGAGUGCUAAGUGUUAGAGGGUUUCCGCCCUUUAGUGCUGCAGCAAACGCAUUAAGCACUCCGCCUGGGGAGUACGGUCGCAAGACUGAAACUCAAAGGAAUUGACGGGGGCCCGCACAAGCGGUGGAGCAUGUGGUUUAAUUCGAAGCAACGCGAAGAACCUUACCAGGUCUUGACAUCCUCUGACAACCCUAGAGAUAGGGCUUCCCCUUCGGGGGCAGAGUGACAGGUGGUGCAUGGUUGUCGUCAGCUCGUGUCGUGAGAUGUUGGGUUAAGUCCCGCAACGAGCGCAACCCUUGAUCUUAGUUGCCAGCAUUCAGUUGGGCACUCUAAGGUGACUGCCGGUGACAAACCGGAGGAAGGUGGGGAUGACGUCAAAUCAUCAUGCCCCUUAUGACCUGCGCUACACACGUGCUACAAUGGGCAGAACAAAG